UGAUCAAAUCAGGGACUAAACUACCUUAGCGAUUAGAUCAACAUUUAACCUAAUCGGGUCAAUCCAAACUGAAUCCAAUUCAAUUGGACUUGAUCUAAAAAUAAUUACUCAAUCAAAUUGAGUUAAUUAGCGAUCAAAUUACUAAUUAAACCUCUCAUAAAUAUUGAGUCCAAAUCCGAUGGACAAUUAGGCAUCAGAGACCAUCGAUAUGAAACCCUGAUCAAAGAGUUCAAAUUUCAAAUUCAAAAUUUGAAAUUCAAAAUUUUGACCCCGGUACCCAAAAUG
rnacentral:lncRNA from 1 species